rnacentral:rRNA from 1 species
CCUACGGGCGGCUGCAGUGGGGAAUUUUGGACAAUGGGGGCAACCCUGAUCCAGCCAUGCCGCGUGCGGGAAGAAGGCCUUCGGGUUGUAAACCGCUUUUGUCAGGAGAGAAAUCUCUUGGGCUAAUACCCUGAGAGGAUGACGGUACCUGAAGAAUAAGCACCGGCUAACUACGUGCCAGCAGCCGCGGUAAUACGUAGGGUACAAGCGUUGCGCAGCAUUACUGGGCGUGGAGCGGGCGGACGGGUGUGAAAUCCCCGGGCUUAACCUGGGAACUGCACUUGUGACUGCACGGCUAGAGUACGGCAGAGGGGGAUGGAAUUCCGCGUGUAGCAGUGAAAUGCGUAGAUAUGCGGAGGAACACCGAUGGCGAAGGCAGUCCCCUGGGCCUGUACUGACGCUCAUGCACGAAAGCGUGGGGAGCAAACAGGAUUAGAUACCCGAGUAGUC